rnacentral:tRNA from 1 species
GGUGCAUAGCUCAGCUGGAUAGAGCCACCGCCCUUUCACGGCGGUAACAGGGGUUCAAUUCCCCUACGAGUCACCA